rnacentral:rRNA from 1 species
AUGGCGAAAAAGGAAAUUCACUCGGAGCGUGAUCGAGGCUUCUACAAGGCUUAUAUCCAACUUAUGAUAUCAACCCUUGGACUUGAAAGCAAAGUGAAAUUAGUGUACGAGUGCCAUCAUCUUUUGGAGUCAGCAGUCGUCCUUUUUAUGGUUGCACAAUCAUUCGGGUCCCUGCUAAAUGAACAAAAUACAGAUCUGAUAAUAUAUAAGGAGGAUUUCAGCGUGCUCAUGGUCGUUGUGGGGCUGCGAUUGCUGCUGUGGUACUAUUUGAAAAGAUUUGGUCAGACUUGCUACAGAGCUGCCGCAGUGGUGCUGCUACAUUAUGUCUUAUUACUUCUGAUCAACAAAAGGUAUAUCAGAAUUGCUAUCGUUCCUGUUAUCUUCUUUGUCUUCAUAGGUGUACUUGCGAAUGAAUUUAAGGAGAAUCCUGCCAAGAAAUUUGAGGAGAAUCCUAGUUUCCAGUACGACAACAUUAUCACACCCCCCGCUGAGAAGCGUAUAGGAAAAGAGAAAACAUACGACAGCGGUGAGGAGAUUGUAUUUGGAGAGAGCUCUUUUGGAGAUCACGACAGCAGUGAAGAUGUUGUAUUUGUACAUGGCCCUGAGAGUUCCCAGGGGCGGAUGAAAAUGGAAGUGAUUUCUUGUUGUUUGCAGUUAUCAUUCGUGAUAUGUACUCAAUUCAGCGAACAACAAGGCGGUACUUUUGUUCUCUCUCACUUCUUUCUGUUCAUCAAUUCGUCUCUAGGUGCACUAGCAGUGAUGAUAGCCGCAUCCCCUAUUGGAACCAGUCCUGGUGCAGUACAGGUGCUGCUAGCGCUGCACAAGUUCUAUCUUAUAAUGCUACCGAUAGCAACUUGCACAAUGGCCGCAGAGUGGCUAGGGAGUGGCGCCAUAAGUCUUUACAUGCCGGAGUUCAUUGUAUUGAUUGUAUGGUUCACUAAUCACUUUGAUCAUGCUGGUCGGGAAGGGCGUAUCAACUCUGCCACACGGGGCCUAGUAGUAGUACAACUACUCUUGCGAAACCCACUCAUGGUAUUAGCAGUUCCGUCAGCUGUAUAUGACCCGGAAAUGUUGGUGUCCUGGUUCAGAGGCUCGUUUCGCGUCUCUAGCUCUUCGUCGGCUCUGUCCUACUUGCACGUUUGGAUGCUACAUCAAUGGCCGGGGAAGACAUUAAACUCGACUGGACCAAUCAAACUGCUCAAGUUUUCUGCGGAAUUUAGCUUUUAUAUGGCACUUCUGCUGGCUGGACCGUCGGCUGUUCUGGCAAUCAUAUCUGGAGAUCAAGCUUCAAGGAUACUGAUUCUGUAUACAGUACGGUUACCAUUUUGUACAGGACUAUAUCUUUAUCAGGGGACUGAUAAUAUAGGACUAAAGAAUAUUCUGUGGACUAUGCUGAUAUCACUAGUGCCAAGAUUUCGUCGGAACAAAGUAAACAGUGCGCCACACUGCCAUCCAAAGGCCAUAUGA